CACACCUGUAAUCCCAGCACUUUGGGAGGCCGAGGCAGGUGGAUCACAAAGCCAAGAGAUCGAGACGAUCCUGGUCAACAUGGUGAAAGCCAGUCUCUACUAAAAACACAAAAAAUUAGCUAGGCAUAGUGGCGCGUGCCUGUAAUCCCAGCUGCUCAGGAGGCGGAGGUUGCGGUGAGCCAAGAUUCCGCCAUUGCACUCCAGCCUGGGUAACAAAAGCGAAACUCCGUCUCAAAAAAAAAAAUAAUAAAAUAAAAUAAAAUAAAACAAAACCCGAAGGAGGAGAACUUAAACAUAAUGAAGCUUCUUCGCUGGGCGCGGUGGUGCGUGCCUGUAGUCCCAGCUACUCGGGAGGCUGAAGUGGGACGAUCGCUUGAGCCCAGCAGUUCUGGGCUGUAGUGCACUAUGCCAAUCAGGUGUCCACACCAAGUUCGGCAUCAAUAUGGUGACCUCCCAGGAGCAGGGGAACACCAGGUUGCUUCAGGAGGGGUGAACCAACCCAGGCUGGAAAUGGAGCAGGUCAAAAUUCCCAUGCUCAUCUGUAGUGGGAUUGCGCCUGUGAAUAUCCACUGCACUCCAGACUGGGCAACAUGGUGAAACCUUGUCUCUACUAAAAAUACAAAAAAUUAGCUGGGCAUGGUGGCGCGUCCCUGUAAUCCCAGCUACUCAGGAGGCUGAGGCAGGAGAAUUGCCUGAACCCAGGAGGCGGAGGUUGCAGUGAGCCGAGAUCGCGCCAUUGCACACCAGCCUGGGCAACAAGAGUGAAACUCCGUCUCAAAAAAAAAAAAGAUGGUGGAAAAGCCCAGGCGCCGUGUGUCCCGCCUGUAAUCCCAGCACUUUGAGAGGCCGAGGCGGGCGGAUCACGAGGUCAGGAAUUCAAGACCAGACUGGCCAACAUGGUGAAACCCCCGUCUCUACUGAAGAUACAAUAAAUCAGCCGGGCGUGGUGGCUCGGGCCUGUAAUCCCAGCUACUUGGCAGGCUGAGGCAGGAGAAUUGCUUGAACUCGAAGAUGGAGGUUGCAAUGAGCAGACUGCACCAUUGCACUCCAGCCUGGGUGACGGGGGAGACUCCGUCUCAGAAAAAACAAACAAACAAAAAAUGGCGUUUCGCUUUUGUCGCCCAGGCUGGAGUGCAAUGGUGACAUCGCAGCUCACUGCAACCUCCGCCUCCGUGGUUCAAGUGAUUCUCUUACCUCAGCCUCGCGGGUAGCUGAGAUUACAGGCAUGCACCACCAUGCCCAGCUAUUUUUUUUUUUUUUUUUUUUUUAAGUGGAGAUCGGUUUUCGGCAUGUUGGCCAGACUGGCCUCAAGUGAUCCACCAACUUCUGCCUCCCAAACUUCUGGGAUUACAGGCGAGAGCCACCGCUGCACCCGGCAGGCAUGGAAGAGGUUCCGCUGGGGUCUGCUGGGAGGAGUCGCGCUGGGGAAAGCGAGCGGAGGUGCUCCUUGACGAAACUGGGGAAUCCCAGAUCUCAGGGAUUCUGUCCUGGCCUGCGCCCUGGAUCGUCCAGCCUUGGCGGGAGCGGGGAGAAGACCUCGCCCUUCUUGACGGGCUGCGUGUGAGGGUCCAACUUCGCCAAAGGCCCAGCCCGGGGUUCCCAGCCCUUGGCCCCACCCUGUAGCGCCCGGGCCCCCUUCCCCUCCAGGCCUGGCAUUCGCCCUCAACAAACAUGGCGCCGACGGCCUCAGUACGUCCAGCGACACGCCCGCCGGCCACCUCCCGCGCUUCUAUUAACCGCAGCCGGAAGCCGAGCGGCAGAGGGGGCAGCCUGGCUUCCGGACUGGCGGCGGCCUGCGCGGCAGGUGUGUGGCUGCGCGCUGGCGCCGCAGGGCGGGGCGCUGUAACCCCUGGAGAGCCCGUCGCGGGAGCGCAAGGAGCUGGACGGACUCUGGAGCUUCCGCGCCUACUUCUCCGACGACCGGCGCCAGGACUUCCAGGAGCAGUGGUAGCGGCCGCUGCUGCGGUAACUCGGCUGGAGCGCAGUGGCGCAAUCCUAACUUGGCCCUCGAGAAGUCGGCGGAGGCGUCGGCGGCAGUGGCCCUGGCCAGCCCGGCCCGGCCACAGGGAGGUCAGCUGCUGCGACGGCGGCCCCGGCCCGGCCGGCGGGAAGUCAGCGGAGGCGGCGGCGGCGCGGUCAGAGUGAGUUUCUUUGGAGAAGCCGUGGUGGCUUCAACGUGAUGGUGGAGGACGAGACAGGUCUCUGCGGCUUUUCUGGGUUUGCCUGCCCAGCUACUCCAUGCCACGAGAAGGAAGAGCUAUCUGCUGCAUGCUGGAUGCUGGAGCCUGGAGCCUGUGGCACCACGGCUUGCCUCGUUGCAGUGGGUGGCAGCGAGGGAGACUGCACAGCGCUGGAGAGGUAGGAGCAUGGCUGGCUGCCACCAGGGCAGGGACGGGUGCAGAGGUGGCCAGGUGGCAGCCUCUGAGGCGACCUUGGUCCCUGGGUCCCCCCCCUGCUGUUUAUGGCAGGCAGAGCUGGGGUUGCCACUGCUUCUGAUGUGCCAUGUGCAGGUGGCAGCUACAGUUGUGCUGUAGGGUGGCAGUGCUGGUUUCUGUUCUUCUGUUCCUCUUUGUCCCUGGUCCAGGGCGCUGGUUACCCUAUAGCCACUGGGAUGGGGCUGGGCACCAGUUCCAGUCCUCCUCCUGCUACGGGGCCUGAUUUAGGCCCCGCAGCAGGUUCUGGCCCUUAGGUCCGCGUUGCUGGAGGAAGCGGGCAGGAUCAGGGGUUGCCACCACGCUGCCGAAUGCUAUCUCUAAAUGGCAGGUGCAGCAGAAUGCACAGGAGGCUGCAGGGCUGGUCUCAGACAGCCUGGGAGUCGCCCAGGGCACCUCCCCGCACCCUAAGAUCUGUGCUUCCUUGGCCCAAACCCAGAGUGUGGGGUCGCGGGCUCUGGGCCCACUGCAGCACCCAGGUUGAGUCUGAGCGCCGGUUUUCAUCACCCUGUAGCUGCACUACCAACUGCCUAAGUUGGGCACCAUGGUGACAUCUGUCCCUGGGAUUCCUGCUGCUGGUGGGGGAGGACAGGGCCAGGGGUUGCCACUGAUACUGACUUGUGCCAUUUCCAGGUUGCAGCUGUGGCUGAGCCCAUGGCAGAGUCUUGCGGGGCUGCUUCCUAAGGGCGUGGAGGUCAGGGAGUGUACCGCCAUCCUACCCUAGGGUCCACUUUUCCUUAGGCCUGGCCCAGAGCACAGGUUUGCAGGUGCUGGGCACUGUGCAGCCACAGAGUUGUGACUGAGAGCCUCCUGCCCUCCCGCACCUGCGGGCUGACUGUGGCAGUAUCCGGUCCUGGGUUCCAUGCUACUGGAGUCAAUGUCCAGGGAUGCCACCGCUGCUGCCCCAUGCCAUGUGUAGGUUGCUGCGGCAGCUGAUCCCAGACCAGAGGCUGUCAGAGCUGGUCCCAGAUAGCCUAAGGGUCGCCUAGUGCACCAGCCAAAGGGUCCGUUCUUUCUUGGCCCACACCCAGAGUGAGGAUUGCAGGCUCUGGGCACUGCACCACUGGCAUGGGGAGACAAGUGGUGGGGGGCUUCCUUACCUGCUCCACACAAAGCCCAGGUUGUCAGGAGUCAGCUCUCUCUCCAGCAUGCCCCAGUCUCAUCCUUGGUCAGCCCAGAGCACAGAGGCACAGAGCCCCAGUCUCAUCCUUGGUCAGCCCAGAGCACAGAGGCCCACUCAGUCCUGACUCCAUAUCUUAUACCAGGUAGGCACAGAGGCACAGAGCCUCAGCAGCUUUGUCUGUGGCUGGGUUAAACUGGUGCCCGCCUCAUCUUGACCAUCUGCCCAAGUGGGCACAGCCUCCAGCGUUGCUUCCCAGACAGCUCCAGGGUGCUUCCUCCCUGGCCCCUUCUUCGGACUCCCAGUCCCAACAGCAAACCACCCCCACCCCAGGCAGCACAUCUGUUGCCCGUGGGGCACUUACUGCUUGGCCUCCCAAAGUGCUGGGAUUACAGGCGUGAGCCUCUGCGCCCAGCCUGUGGGAACUGUUUUAAAUGUCGGCUGAGAAGAGGAAACAUUGAAAAGUGGCAGGGAAACAGCAUUUCCUGACCGCACACCCCACACCAGGCAUGUAUCAAAAGCUCCGCUAGAAAAACAUGUUCAGAGAGGUCUGGUAACUUGCCUCAGGUCACACAGCAAGUGAGAGGCAGUGUGGUAGGCAAACCCAGGCCUGCUGGGCUAGUUUCUCCCCCUGUCACGUGGACCUGGGCCACCUCUCAGGCACAGCAGAAACCCACCCAGGAACACAAACCUCGAGGGCUGACAAGUUUGGAAAGUCGGGAAAUGUCUCGUGCAAGGCUGAGACCUUUGACGCGCCCCUGGGGGAGUGGACUAGGGGAACUGGGCCAUGCAUGUGAACACCAGGCUGAUGACAUUUACCAGCUGCCUCCUAACGAAACCCACCCCAGGGCCUUUGCCUCAGCUGCCUCCUCACCCCAGGGCCUUUGCCCCAGCUGCCUCCUCACCACACCUACCCCAGGGCCUUUGCCCCUGCUGCUUCCUCACUGCACUCACUCCAGGGCCUUUGCCCCAGCUGCCUCCUUACCACACCCACCCCAGGGCCUUUGCCCCAGCUGCCUCCUUACCACACCCACCCCAGGGCUUUUGCCCCUGCUGCCUCCUUACCACACCCACCCCAGGGCCUUUGCCUCUGCUGCCUCCUCACCGCACUCACCCCAGGGCCUUUGCCCCAGCUGCCUCCUCACCACACUCACCCCAGGGCCUUUGCCCCUGCUGCCUCCUCACCACACCCACCCCAGGGCCUUUGCCCCUGCUGCCUCCUCACCACACUCACCCCAGUCAAAUGGUGUUUCUGGUUCUAGAUCCUUGAUGAAUUGUCACACUGUCUUCCAUAAUGGUUGAACUAAAGUAAUAUUUUUCUUACGCUGCUUAUUGGUGUUAUGUACUCUCAAAGCAAAAACAGCCAAGUAUGUUAUUUUCACAGAUGUCAGACUACGCAAGUGUGUUUCCAAAAUCUCUGGUUACUUGGGUUUCUAACCCUUCCCCUCAACUGUGUAGAUGGUAUUCUAGUGUUUUCCUGAAUUUUCUGUCACAGAGGAAAAGCCAGGGUCAGCCUGAUUUUCAUUCAUUUCUAAGUACUUUUCUCAGAUCCCGGAAUGGUUAAAAGUUUUCCAGCAUUUCAAUACAUAUUCUGCCAGGAUAUGUCUAUGUGAGGAUUUCUUUUGAUAGAACAUGAUUUUUUUUUUAAAAGGUCAAGAAAAAAUGUUCUCUUUGUUGUUGUUUUUUCAUUAGUUUGUUGUUCUACUCUAUUCUGAAAAUGUUAUUGUAUUAAUCUUGGAGUUUUAAAAUUGGGUUUCACAGAGCUCUCAUCAUCACUUUCAUUCUGUUAUCCUUUUCCUCUACAUUCUUGGAGGACUUCUCCAAUGUAUUCUUAGUAUCACUGAUUUGAUUUUCUUUUCUUUUCUUUGUGGUAUCAGUCUUGCUGAUGAAUAUCUUCAUGUGGAUAUUUAAAUGCUUUUUGAUUCCUUGCAAAUCUUUGUUUUUUUAAUUGUACUUGAGGUUCUGGCUUACAUUUGCAGAUCAUGCAGGAUUAUUGCAUAGGUACACAUAUGGGAAUGUGGUUCGCUGCUUCCAUCCCCUGUCACCCACAUCUGGCAUUUCUCCCCAUGUUAUCCCUCCCCAACCUCCCCAUCCUCCCCCGCUGUCCCUCCCUUGGCCCCCGCAACAGACCCCAGUGUGUGAUGUUCCCCUCCCUGUGUCUGUGUGUUCUCAUUGUUCAACACCUGCCUAUGAGUGAGAACAUCUGGUGUUUGAUUUUCUGUUCUUGUGUCAGUUUGCUGAGAAUGCUGGUUUCCAGAUUCAUCAAUGUCCCUACAGAUGACAUGAACUCAUCAUUUCUUAUGGCUGCAUAGUAUUCCAUGGUGUGUAUGUGCCACAUUUUCCUUGUCCAGUCUAUCGUCGAUGGGCAUUUGGUUUGGUUCCAGGUAUUUGCGAUUGUAAACAGUGCCGUUAUGAACAUGUGUGCAUGUGUCCUUAUAAUAAAAUGAUUUAUAAUCCUCUGCGUAUAUUACUCAGUAAUGAGAUUGCUGGGUCAAAUGGAAUUUCUAUUUCUAGGUCCUUGAGGAAGCGCCACACUGUCUUCCACAAUGGUUGACCUAGUUUACACUCCCACCAGCAGGGUUAAAUUGUUCCUAUUUCUCCACAUCCUCUCCAGCAUCUGUUAUCUCCAGAUUUUUUAAUGAUCGCCAUUCUGACUGGCGUGAGAUGAUAUCUCAAUGUGGUUUUGAUUUGCAUUUCUCUAAUAAUCAGUGAUGAUGAGCAUUUUUUCAUAUGUUUGUUGGCCUCAUAUAUGCCUUCUUUUGAAAAGUAUCUGUCCAUAUCUUUCUCCCACUUUUGGAUAGGUUUGUUUGCUUUUUACUUGUAAAUCUGUUUUAGUUCUUUGUAGAUUCUGGAUAUUAGCCCUUUGUCAGAUGGGUAGAUUGCAAAAUUUUUUCCUAUUCUGUUGGUUGCUGGUUCACUCUGCUGAUUGUUUUUUUUUUUUUGCUGUACAGAAGCUCUGGAGUUUAAUUAGGUCCCAGUUGUCUAUUUUGGCUUUUGUUGCCAAUGAUUUUGGUGUUUUAGUCAUGAAGUCCUUGCCUAUGUUACAUAUAUUCCUUUUCAUCUCCUUCCAUUUCAUUUUUUUUCCUUUUUUUCUUUUUCAUGAGACAGAGCCUUGCUCUGUUGCCUAGGCUGGUGUGCAGUAGCACCAUCUCAGCUCACUGCAACCUUUGCCUCUUGGUUUCAAGCAAUUUUCUGUCUUUGCUUCCUGAGUAGCCGGAGUUACAGGUGCCCACCACCGCUCCUAGCUAAUUUUUUGUAUUUGGGAAAUAAUUGGGUCAUGGGAGCAUGAACCUACAUCACAGGGCUGUUUCCUAAAUGCUGGGGCCAGUUUAAUUCUCACAAGCUCUCAUUUUGCGGAGGAGGAAUUCCCACCCGAAGGCCUUGCUGCCAGGAUGUGGAAAAGCUGAAACCUGAACUUAGGUCAUACCAACUAAAUCCAGGUUCCCAUCACUCCAUGACGCAGCCUUCAAGCCCCUUCCCCCUGGAAUGAUGACAUAGCGGUGGGCUUGGCCAUGCACUGCCUGACCCUGGCCGGCAGUGAACCGAGGAGACCACCCAGCUGGGACCCAGGGAGGAGGCAAAGAGGAGACCCCUCAGCAGGGUCUGUUUCUCUUGCCUGGGCUUGUCCUGCACCCAAGGCCAGUGUGGUCCUAGGGGGUAUCCAGAACCCUCCCUUCCUCUUCCAGGUGUCCCCAGAGCUUCAGAAAAGUCUGUGCUUAAAGAAAGAGUCAGGGAAAUCAUUUUCAAAAAAGGAUGCUUACAUGCAUACAUACAUACAGAAGCAGGAGUGUACAAGCCUGGGCAACAUAGCAAGACCCCACCUCUACCAAAAAAAGGUUAGUAAGGCAUGGGGAUGCAUGCCUGUUGUCCCAGCUACUCAGGAGGCUGAGUCUGGAGGAUCACUUGAGCCUAGGAGUUCAAGGCUACAGUGAUCUGUGAUUGUGCCGUUGUACUCCAGCCUGGGUGACAGAGCAAGAUUGUGCCUCUAAAAAUAAAAAAUUUUUUAAAGGAAGUGUGACUGUGUGUCUGUGUGUCAGAGCAUGCAAAUUCGACAGGUGUGUGUGUAUGAGAGAGAAAAGACCACACAUACACACGUGAUGGAAAGAAUGAGGACAGUUGAAGGAGAAACACACACACACACCCCCUCAGCCAGAGUGACACUGAGAGGCCUGGCCCACUGGCUGGGGGGGCUCAGUUGUUUGAAGUGGCUUGGGUUGAACCAAAUAAACAAAUGUCACAGCUCUAGAACUGGCACACCCGGCACCCCAUUGAAUUUUCAUUUUUUUUUUUUUUUUUUUUUUUUAACAAAAACAGGGUCUCACUGUUUCCCAGGCUAGUCUCAAACUCCUGGGCCCAAGUGAUCUAAUCGCCUUGGCCUCCCAAAGUGCUGGGAUUACAGGCAUGAGCCACCAAGUUUCACCUACUGAAUUUUCAGAAAAGCACCAUGAGGUCGCUCUUCUAAUCCAUGUUACAUCUGGUGGGGCUAAGGAUCGGGAGGGGAAGCCUGCUGCUCAGGGUUACUUGUGACACUUGAUGAGUCGUCUGUGAGCCAGUUCACCCCAAGCCCAAGCCCUUCUCCCAUGCACCAGCAUGUCCAGGUCCCUCAUCAGCAAAGACACAACGUGGGGCCCCAUCAACUGGGGGUCUCUUCAGGCCUCUUCACGCCCCACAAGUGGCAUGUUCAUACAUUGGCUCUUUCCUUUGUGUGCAUUCAUUCAUUCAUUCAUUUAUUCCUUUGUGUGUGCAUUCAUUCACUCAUUUCUUGGUUUGGGCAUUUAUUUACUCAUUCCUUUGUAUGUGCAGUCAUUUCAUUGCCCCCUUCCUCCCUCCCUCCCUUUUUUCCUUCCUGCCUCCCUCCUUCCCUCCGGUGCCUCCUUUCCUCCCUCCUUCGCUCCCUCCCUCCCUUUCUUCCUCACACACUUUGGAAACCUCAGGGCUAUGCUCAUUCCAUUUGCUUAUUGGCUCCCAUCUAGGUCAUACUGGGUAAGAACAGAGAGGACACUUCUGCCGGGCCAUCGGCUGGGACCUAGUCCAAGGCAGUGAGCUGUAAGUGGGAAAGGACCACCAUGCAAGAGCUCAGCAGCGCAUGGAGGCCUGACAAGGCUGGGGGGUGGGAGGAACACAUCCUGGGUGCCUUCCCCAGCCCCCCCUCCCCACCCCUACUCAUUCACUCAACACCUAUCAGGGGCUGCUCCAGGCCUGGCCCCACUUGCCUUCCUCCAGCUCACAGGGCCAGGGUGCCCAGAGAGAGAGGACCAGUCUGGGUGCGGUGGUUCAUGCCUAUAAUCCCAGUACCUUCGGAGGCCAAGGUGGGUGAAUCACUUGAGGUCAGGAGUUUGAGAUCAGCCUGGCCAACAUGGUAAAAACCUGUCUCUAUUAAAAAUACCAAAAAUUAGCUUGGUCCACGUGGUGGUGCAUACUUGUAUCCCAGCUACUAGGGAGGCUGGGGCAGGAGAAUGACUUGAACCUGGGAGUUGGAGAUUGCAGUAAGCUGAGAUCAUGCCACUGCAUUCCAGCCUUAGUGAAAGAGCAAGACUCCAACUUAAAAAUAAAAGAGAGGCUGGGCGAGGUGACUCAUGCCUGUAAUCCCAGCACUUUGGGAGGCUGAGGCAGGCAGAUCACGAGGUGAGCUGCAUGAGUGUUUGCAUGAGUUCCCUGUUUUAUGAUUCUGUGUAAAGGCUCUGAGGCCUUUGUCAGGUGUGAGGCCUCUGUGUGAGAACCAAGGAAGGUCUCUGAAAUUUGCAGGAGGUCUCUGUGGGACUGAAUGAAGUCUCUCAGUGUGGUCUCUGUGGGGUUCUCUGAAGGGGUCUGUGUGAGGACUCUGGGAAUCUCAGUGCUGUGUCUCUGUGGGGCACCAUGAGGUCACUGAGAGCUCUGUGGGGUCUCUGGAGGCCACAGUGUGUCUCUCUCUGGCAGUGAGUGGUCCCGGUGGGCUCUCUGUACGAGAUGUCUCUGUGAGGUUUCUGUGGGAGGUCUCUGUGGUCUCCACUGCUGGCCUCACUGUACCCCAUGGGAGACUGAGUAGCGGAGGGGUAAGGGCUUGCUUGUGCCUUCCUAUGUUCUUGUUGGUCGGCCAGUGUUUCCUGUGGUGCUUCUCCUGGCCUGAGCCGUGGGGUCCACACAUCCAGCUCCUCCACGUCCCAGAACUCGCCUAUCAGUUUCCUGAGGGAACCCAGCAGCAGCCAGGCAUGGCCCCUGCUCAGCAGUCAGGAUCCCAGCUCUGUGACUCUCUCUCCUGAGCUCCCCAGGGGGACUGGAGCUGAUCUCUGUUCCAGGUCCCAGCCCCUCCUUCUGGUCCUGGUUCUGCUGUCACUGCUGGGUCCACCUUGGAGGCUGCCUCAGUCAUUGGGCCCCAGACAGACCUGGCCCUAGGACAGGCCACAUGCUGGGGACUGUUGCUUACUGCCCCCUUUACCCGAAGUGCCAGCCAGUCUUACAUGGAAUGGCAGGGCCAUUUCCAUUUUCAUCUAAAUCAGUGGCACCGCCUGGCAUGGUCCUCUCCACCAUGGAAACGAGGCCCCCGUAACUGGGCCUUCUGCGCACCUGUAUGUGCACAAGGCACGGAAACUCCCUCUAGAGACCUCACACUCCUCUUCCUGAUUUGUGGGGACCUCCUGCUUUCCCAUGCGGAGAGGGCCCAGAGAGGAGGAAGCUGUGCUGAAAGCAGAGGGAGACAGAGCGGGGACGGCUCCUGCCCUGCCCACCCCCUGCCCAUUCUGGACAGGUCACUUCCAGCUGCCUUGUGUGUUCAAAUCCUGCCUGCCUGCCUGCCUCUUCCCCUGUUGGUCUGUGGGGCAAGAAAGGACCUCAGGAGCUGGGGGAGAUUUGCUGUGUGACCCCAGCUCAGCUGCUGGGGUCCUUCUAAGUCACCACCUCUCCCCUGGGGGCAGUCCUGGGGCUACGUGUAUGUUAAAGGUCACCAGACUCCCGAGUCAUGCCUGGGGUUCUCUAGUCCUUGCUAUCGUCAACACAUCCUCUUAAAAAUUCAAUAGGUAGGCCAGAUGCAGUGGCUCAUGCCUGUAAUCCUAGCACUUUGGGAGGCCAAGGCUGGUAGAUCACUGGAGGUCAGGAGUUUGAGACCAGCCUGGCCAACAUGGCAAAACCCCAUCUCUAUUAAAAAUGUAAAAAAUUAGCCAGGUGUGGUGGUGGGUGCCUAUAAUCUCAGCUACUUGGAAAACUGAGGCAGGAGAAUCACUUGAACCCAGGGGCUGGAGGUUGCAGUGAACUGAGAUUAUACCACUGUACUCCAGCCUGGGCAAAGGAGUGAAACUCUGUCUCUGUCUCAAAAAAAAAAAUUCAGUAGGUUACUAUGUGCAAGCUUAUUAAAGAUGUUAAGAAAUUCAUAUUCCCUUAUUCAGUUUGCCUUCUCACUGGUCUGGCCCUCUGUGUUGGGGCUAAAUGCAUUUUUAGGUCUGUGGUCUGGGAGCUGGAACAAGGACAGACCCUGGGGUGGGGCCAGGAUGAGCCAUAGGCCCCUCUAUGCCUGUGGAAGGGGUUGGAAUGUCAGAGGCUCCCAGGUCAUGGCACUGCCUACGGAGCCCUCACACCACUUUGCCUCCUUUUCAAUUCUUUGUCUGCAUCUGGCUGUAGUUCUACAGAGUCCCACCAUCGGAAGCCUCUGCACACACAGGCAUGCCCUGCCCCAUUCACCCAGAACUACUUCUCUGAAGCUGAGACACACAUAGGUGAGACAGACAAAGGCAGGUGACCCAGGAGCAGGGUCAUUCACUCAUUUUGGGCAGGGGAGCUCACGGUCCUCAGCAGCCUCUGUUAAGGCCUCCCCACACCCCCCACUUUUACAUCCACAGCGCUGGAAGGUCUGUCCCCACCCCCACUCCAGAGUGCAAGAAAGGGAGAGGCAGUGGGAUGGGGACUCUGUGCUUUGUAUGUAGGCUGAGCUAAGAGGGCCCAUCUCCGUCCCAGCCUUUGCGAGGGAGAGAAGGGGCUUCCCAAGGGCAGGCAUUAUCUACUCUCCCCCAGGAUAUCCAAGGUCAAGACUUCCCUGGCUUCUGAACUCAGGGCCCACACUCUCCCACCCAAGCUUCCACUGUUUUGUGACACAUGAAGCUACUUGACUGUGGCAGUUCCUGGAGCCUGCAUGGAGAUAGUCAGUCCUAUGACAUCUCUGCAACCCUUCUUCCUACAGCUGCAUAAAGUUUGAGGUAGAGUAAGUAGUAGAAAGAUGGGUUGAACCAUAUUUCUGAGUGGGAUCUUCGUAGGUGUUCUUGUCUUGUUUUCAGAAUUUUUUGUUGUUUGUGUAAAGACAGUAUUAUGGAAACCUAAGUUUCAGUGAAGGAACUCAGGAUGAAGGUGGGCUUACAACACCACUCUCAGAAUCCUUCCAUGUCCUGUCACUUCUAGAAAACAAGCUCAGACCAAGCACGACACAAAUAAAAGCCAUUAUCCUUUUAUGGGGGAAAAAAAGGAGAUAUUUAUUUAUUUUGGAAUAUUAAAAGUUCUGUAUCUUCACAGAAGACUACUUGACCUUCUGUGAGACAGCCUUGGGGAGCAAGAGUUGGGGCUGUCCUGGCCCCGUUGGUCACUGUUGCGCCGGACACUUUUCAAGGACUGUUGAUCUCUGAUAUGCUUCUCUCUGUUGGGGUAACUCUGGCUCUUGAGAGUGGCUUGUUGACUGCUGGCUGCAUAGCUGAGCAUUCUGCUGUGUUCCGGGUGGAAGAGGUGCCUGCGGUUGCAGGGAAACCCACAGACUGGGGCUUGGAACUCCUGUUUGUGCUGAUAUACGUUAGAGGCACGAUGCUCACGGCGAAGUGUCAUUUUUUUCUCCAGCAUGUGUCCAGCUGCUGCCGUGAGCCCCUCAGCUUCAGCACAGCUGCUGUACAUAUGUGAUCUAUUUUUCACUAUUUUCUGGCUGUUGGCAGUGACUGGUACUGGCUUGCUUUUUUUCACUGAAAAGACCUGCUGAAGAAAUUGUUUGAUGUUUUCUCCGAAGUUGCUUAUUGAAGGAGGCUGUUUCUUUGAUGGCAGCAGCUGGAGGCCUUCAUCCUGAUGGGUUUUUUCUGUUUUCCUGACUGGGGUGAGUUGGGGAGUCCUCAGUUCUUCAAGUCUUUCUUCACAUUUUUCUAAGUUGGGCUUCUUUGGGUUCUCACUGUUGUGAGUAGGGGUAGACAUCCGGCUCUGGCUCUUGCAUGAGCCUUGACAUUUCGGGUUCUUGGGCUCCUUGUACCCCAGGUUGCUCCUUCUGGCUGCCAUAAAGUCACGUUGCUCCCGGGAAGCCUGCAUGUUCCCGGUAGGCAUGCUCUGGAGACAGCCGUGGGGCACUUGAGAAGCCAAACUCUCUGUAGCAAGGGGAAUGUCAGUAAAACCAUCUGGAGGGAGCACAACAGCGCCACAAACUUGAGGCUGGGUCUCUGAGUUAGGAGUUGAGAGCCUUUACUGGUCCGUGGAGCCUCUGAACCACUCAUAUCCUUACGUGUGGCUUGGAGGUUUGCCAAGUUUCCCAAGGGGACUCUGGGUUGUGGCGCUGCCUCCAUGGUCUUUCCAGCCCUUGAAGAUUGGGCUCCUAAGCUCCCGCUCUGCUGGGCGCUGCCUGUGAGGCUGCAUGUGAGGGACUUAGAAGGCCACCUGUCCUCCUGUCCAGCUAGAGGAGGCUUCAAGGGCCCAUGGGCAUUCCAAGACGGGAUCCCUUGUGGGGCCGUCUGGAACUUCGUAAAUGUGGGUGAAGACACCAGAAGACUGUCUGGCAUCUGAACAGAUGCUUUGGUCAGCACCUGCUUUCUCAGACCUGCCGGUGGUGACUCUCUCAGGAACGUGGCUUUCUCAACUUUUGAGCUAGGCUUAGAUUCAUAGGUGGCUGAGGAGGGACCAGCAAGCUGUGGUAGGGAUAAGGAUGAAACUUUUUCCAGUUUAAAGAGCUUAAUGGGCUUGAGGACCCUGAGGGGUAGGCUCCAGUUGUGUUUGGCCCACAACCUCACAAUAUGGUGUCCCAGCACCUGUUGAGUGCACGGAUUGAGGAAGAAAAGCUCCUGGGAUGUGUUCACACUGGCUCUUUAACUUUUUGGGGGUGUUAGAUUGCUGGUCUUCAUGUGAGUGUUGGACACGGGAAAAGCCUGGUUGACAGCAAGCAAGGAUCGACGCACACGAAUGGGGAUAAAGCCCUCAUUGAUCUGGGCCAACUUCAUGCCCACGUGGGCUUUCAGGAUGUUUUCUAUACGAUUUGUCCCUGUGCGUCUUAAGAAAUCACUUUCCGAGUCUCUCCUCAAGGGCAUCUUCAAGUCUCUUUCCGAUUCCUCAGAGACUUGAGGUUCCGCCCACAGAACCUUCCCUGGGAAGCUUUCCAUGUUCCUGGCUAGAUUUUGCGGGGUCUACCCCCGAAUUUGUCCCAGAGGUGUGCACGGAUUACUCUCUAGCGGGAACGUCACCUUCUGUAUAUCCUUGCUGCUUUUUCCCAUGGACUUGAAGAACUGCAAGGGUCUGAGUUUGCCCCUGGCCUGACUUGUCCCUGGCAAUUUCUCCUGAGGCUGCGUCAGAUCCGGAGACUCUUGGGUCGUUCCUGGGUUGCUCCGGAGUUCAGGACUGACCGGAAAGUUCUCAGGAAUGAUUGCUGUCAAGCUGCCCUGGGGAAGGUUAGGAGUGGAGGCGCUAAAGACAUCCUGAGGUUUUUGGGACCUAGAGGGUAAAGCCAACCCAUCUUCUAGUUGUUUAGAAGACCGUUCAGGGCGCUGCAUUUCAGGUAAGGUGAGAGCUUGCGUCUUAAUCUGCGACGCAGGGCAAGCUACUCCAGAAUUAUUAAUCGGGGAUGCAAAAGCAGGAGAUUGGACUAGGAAAAAGGAUUGAAGACGGGCCUGAGCCUCCACCUGAGCCAUGUGUGAGAGCUGGAAUUGGGGUGUGGGCUAAAUAAAGGGUUGGGACUCAGGCCUCAGAUGGGACAGGUGCUGGGCCUGGUAAAGCAGUGGAGACAUUGUAGUCUCUGUUUGAAGUGGGUGGACAUUGGGAAUGCCAUUGAACAAGAAAGGAGGAGACUAUAAAGUAUAUGAUCUUUCAGACACCCAGGCACUAGCCUCCAAGGAUUUGCUGUGCCGAGAGGGGAGGCCCCAGAAAAGCUGGCUAUAAUUCUUCUGAAAAUGUUCCUUCAGGGUUCCAGAAUCCGAGAGCUUCUGAGGACUGUACGAUUGUUUCAAGUCUUCCAUGUCCCAGACGGGUUUUAGGGUUGUGGGGUCCUGCUCAGCAUUCAAUGAUUUCACCAAAUUCCCCAAGGAAUUCAAGUGCUUUUCCGUGUUUGUUUUGGAAAUGAUCCAUCUUUUUCCUCCCGAAUGUUGAUCCUGGCUCUUUCUGUGACUUGUAUUCCCACGGCAUUCUGGCCAUCAGAGCUGAGCAAAAAGGGGCUUCCAGCUUCCAUCUGACUGUUUGUGGGGUCUCCCGAGGAUGAGUUUUCUGGUGGGUGGCCGGAAAGAUGAUCUUGCUGGACAGAUGGGUUGGAGACGCGCCAGGUUCUGGUAGUUUCCUGACACCAGAAUGCAGGCACAGAGACAUGACUGCUUGAGCCACCAAGGCCUGAGAUGGCUGGGCCAGAAGUCACCAAAUCCUCACACGGAGAUGAGCUUUGAUGGUGCCCAGUGGAAGCGCCACCGAGUCACAGUGAGAUGGAGUCGUCAGAGUGGAGUCCUGCAGGGGAGGAGCAAUGAAGCCUUUCGGAGGAGGCGGAGAGCAGGCCAGAGGAUCAGGAUGCGGCACCGGGAUGCUGCAGGAGACAGGAGGCACAAGCUGCAGCCAGGAGCAGUUUCGCUCUUGUUACCCAGGCUGGAGUGCAGUGGUGUGAUCUCGGCUCACCGCAACCUGAGGCAGGCGGUUUAACAAUGCAAUGGGAACCGCAGUGUGUCUCCUCCAUGCCCCUCACAUUUAGAACAAUACAGGAGCUUGAGGAAAACCUCAGCAGUUGAAACUAUGUCACGGGUCAGCAAAGAAGAAGCUCCUGUCACGGAUAUCCUCAUUGAGUGAGUUGUGAAGCUUGCUGACUUAAUCAGAAUGAUCACCCAGCAUGCAUGUUCCAAUAUGCUCAUUUGUCAAUGAUAAUGAGCGGCUGCAAAGUCUAAGAACAGGCCUUUAGUCAUAGUCUGUUCACUUGGUAGCACGAGUUGGUUGUGGAUGCAAGAGUGUGGCCAAAGUCAGGAAAGGCUUCUAUGAGAAUCACUUAUGUGGAAUUUAUAAUAAAAAGUAGGGUAUAUUAUUUGUAAAUUGUGGGCUACACAUGUAUUAUAUCUAAAAUUUACUGCAGAUGUGUGUGUGUGUCUUCUUGGGCAGUUGGGUCAGUGUGUGUACUUGAGAAUGUAAGAAAGAUUUGUUUUGGACUUUGGGAUAUGAGAUACAUGGGGUGGUUGUGUGUCUGUGAACAGUGUGUUUAUAUGACUUCUUAGUUUGCAAUUUGAUACGUAUUUAACUGGUGAGAGUCUAAUAUAUAUUCACGUGUGUGGGUUGGUGGUGUCUGUGUGGAUACUGCAGAUUAAAGAAGGUCAUAACCGGGCUGGGUGUGGUGGCUCAUGCCUGUAAUCCCAGCACUUUGGGAGGCUGAGGUGGGCAGAUCACCUGAGGUAAGGAGUUCAAGACCAAACUGGCCAACAUGGUAAAACCCUGUCUCUACUAAAAAUACAAAAAUUAGCUAGGCAUGGGGGUGCACGCCUGUAGUCCAAGCUACCUGGGAGGCUGAGGCAGGAGAAUCACUUGAGCCGGAGAGGCGGAGGUUGCAGUGAGCCAAGAUCGAGCCACGGCACUCCAGCCUGAGCGACAGAGCAAGACUCUGUCUCAAAAAAAUAAAAUAAAUAAAUAAAUAAAUUAUUGAAUGUCAGAAUCAAAGAAUGGGGUUUCAGGUUGAGUGUGUGUGUGUGUGUGUAUUUUCGUGGUACUGUGUAUUUUGACGGUACUGUGAGAUAUUGUGAAUAUGUGUGCAUACAUUUGAAAAGACAGGUAAUGUUACAUGUUUUACUGUUUUGUGUGUAUUCAGAGUAGAGGAGUUUUAUGUAUGCUCAUGGUGUCUAGAUGAGAAUUUAGGUGUACAUUUUUGGUAUGAGGAAUUUGAAAGCAGAGGGAUGGCUGGGUGUAUUUGGGUGUUACGAGCUAUAUGUAUGUAAUGUGAGAAUAUGGACAGAAUAUAGUUCUCAUGAUGGAGGCUUGUGUAUGUUUGUAUUUGUAUCUGUGAGUACAUUGUGGAUGUAUUAUUCAGGCAUCUGGAUGUUUGAGUUUGUGUAAUCUGGACAGUGUGAAUUUAUUCAGGAAAUGUGAUAUUUGUGUGUCCAUUCUAGAGCUGUGAGUGUGUGGUCUGUGCUUCUACCAGGGGAGUAGAGAAUAAUUUCAUUUUUUUUCCUAUUUUUAUAACAUUUUAUGUAACUCAUAAAACUGUCUGCAUAAACAUUCAUACAGAGUUGCUAGAGAGCAUACAAUUUCCAAAAAUGUCCUGGGUUUUUUGUUUCAUUAAGUUUUUCUAAGGAUGCACUCAAGUCAGUGGUAAAAUGCAGACAUUAUGCAAUACUUCAUUGUCUUUAACAAAUUAUUCUUAUUAUUUUGUCUCCACAGUUUCAACCCUGAUAUCCACUUUGUGCAGGGUUUGCUAGAACUAGGAUGUCAGAAAACCAUUAAGGCAGGAUCGAUCUAUAAGAGGUAUUUCCAAAGAGCAGAAUAGCCCCUUGACCCUCACGCUCACUUUAUAUAUCCAUUCAGUCCCUCUACACAACCUGGCAGGGUGCCACGUCAUGACUUCCACUUGGGAGUCUCAAGAUCUCCUCUCGAUUGGGCAAGAAGCAAACAUCUGGGGGGAAUUUUGGAAACUGAGGCCAUUUCUACAGGAACCCAUGUGGCCGUGCUGUAGUGUGGUCAGGCUGGUGACUCUUACCAAUUAAACAGCCAGUCCACUCACCACUAAGUAGAUCCCACUGGUUGGUUGAUGAUUGCUGCUGAUGUGGUCCCCUUUCCCCCACAAAACUUGCACAUGGUUGCAAAGGACUUCACACUAUUUCUUCCUCUCUACUGCCAAACAAGGGGCAUCUUGACUCUUCCAUAAUCAGAUGUUAAAAACAAGGUUGGUAAAAUCAGUAUCCAUCCCACCUGAAGCUAUGAUUAGCCAUUGUGCACAAACAUGACACUUUUAUUUUACUUUCUAUUAUUUUAUUUUUUUGAGAUGGAGUUUCAAUUUUGUUGCCCAGGCUGGAGUGCAGUGGCGUGAUGUCAGCUCACUGCAACCUCUGCCUUCCGGGUUCAAGCAAUUCUCCUGUGUUGGUCUCCUGAGUAGCUGGGAUUACAGGCGCCCGCCACGAUGCCAAGCUAAUUUUUGUAUUUUUUAGUAGAGACAGGGUUUCAUCAUGUUUGCCAGGCUGGUCCUGAACUCCUGACCUCAGGUAGUCUACCUGCCUCAGCCUCCCAAAGUGCUGGGAUUACAGGCGUCAGCUACCGCGCCUGGCCUGAACAUGGCACUUUUAUAAAGUUUUUUUUUUUCAGCAGGGAGCAGUGGCUCACACCUGUAAUCCCAGCACUUUGGGAGAUCGAGGCAGGUAGAUCACAAGGUCAAGAGAUCGAGACCAUUCUGGUCAACAUGAUGAAACCCCAUCUCUACUAAAAAUACAAAAAAUUAGCUGGGCAUAGUGGUGCAUGCCUGUAAUCCCAGCUGCUCAGGAGGCUGAGGCAGGAGAAUUGCCUGAACCCAGAAGGCGGAGGUUGUGGUGAGCCGAGAUUGCGCCAUUGCACUCCAGCCUGGGUAACAAGAGCAAAACUCCGUCUCAAAAAAAAAGAUAUUUUAUAGAUAAGAGAUGACAAAAAGGGAACCAAAACACAUGGUAAGUAAUAAGGACUCUUGGGGUUUCGACGGGCAUUUUGGAACUAUCUGUUGGACGUCAACAUUUAUUUUAUUUUUGUUUUGUUUUGCUUUGAGACAGAAUUUCACUCUUGUAGCCCAGGCUGGAGUACAGUGGCACAAUCUUGGCUCACUGCAACCUCUGCCUCCUGGUUUCAAGCCGUUCUCCUGCCUCAGCCUCUUAAGUAGCAGGAUUAUAGGCAUGCGCCACCACACUCACCUAAUUUUUUGUAUUUCGUAGAGACAGGAUUUCACCAUGUUGGUCAGGCUGGUCUCGAACUACUGACCUCAAGUUACCCACCUGCCUCAGACUCCCAAAGUGCUGAGAUUAUAAGCAUGAGCCACCACGCCCGCCAACUUCAACAUUUAUUUCUGGGAGGUGAACCUGUGUGGAUUUCAUAAACCGACUCUCUUGUCUUCUGGUGUCCUGUUGGGUUUGGCCAGUAGGAGACAAGGUCAGCCACAACCUUGUCUUUUACAUUGUGUUUGUGCACAAUGGCUAAUCAUAGCUUCAGGUGGGAUGGGUACUGAUUUUACCAACCUUGUCUUUUACAUCUGAUUCUGGAAGAGUCAAGAUGCCCCUUGUUUCCCAGGAGACAAGAAGGAAGGAGAAAAGCAAAGUGAGAAUAUUUAGUUCAUUCCUCCUCUUUCUUCAGGGGAAGGAGAAGUAUGGAGGCCAGGCAUGGUGGCUCACAGCUAGAGGCCCAGCACUUUGCAAGGUGGAGGCAGGAGGAUCACUUGAGCUCAGGAGUUCAAGACCAGCCUGGGCAGCAUAACGAAAAGCUAUCUCCACAAGAAAUAUAAAAAACUAGCCACAUGCAGUGGCAUGCACCUGCAGUCCCAGGUACCCAGGAUUUUGAGGUGGGAGAAUCACCUGAGCCCAGGAGGUCGAGGCUUCAAUGAAGUAUGAUCAUGCCACUGCCCUUCAGUCUGCAAGAUAGGGCAACACUUUGUCUCAAAAAAAAAAAGAACAAAAACUCAUAGAGUUUUGCUCUUGUUGCCCACGCUAGAAUGCAAUGGCAUGAUCUCGGAUCUCUACAACCUCAAACUCCCAGGUUCAAGUGACUCUCCUGCCUCAGCCUCCAGAGUAGCCAGCAUUACAGGCAUGCGCCACCACACCCGCUAAUUUUAUAUUUUUAGUGGAGACGGGGUUUCUCUGUGUUGGCUGCCCUGGUCUUGAAUUCCUAACCUGAGGUGAUCCACCUGCCUCGACCUCCCAAAGUGCUGAGAUUACAGGUGUGAGCCACCACACCUGGCUUUUUUUUUUUGUUUUUUUUGUUUGUUUGUUUUUGAGACGGAUUAUCGCUCUUGUUUACCCAGGCUGGAGUGCAAUGGGGUGAUCUCGGCUCACGGCAACCCCUGCCUCCUGGGUUCAGGCAAUUCUCCUGCCUCAGCCUCCUAAGUAGCUGGGAGUACAGGCACGCGCCACUAUGCCCAGCUAAUUUUUGUGUUUGUAGUGGAGACGGGGUUUCACCAUGUUGACCAGGAUGGUCUCCAUCUCUGGAGGUCGUGAUCCACCCACCUCGGCCUCCCCAAAGUGCUGGGAUUACAGGCGUGAGGCACUGCGCCCGGCGGUUUUUUUUUUUUUUUUUUUUUUUUUUUUUGAGACGGAGUUUCGUUCUUGUUUACCCAGGCUGGCGUACAAUGGCGCAAUCUCGGCUCGAGGGAACCCCCACCUCCUGGGUUCAGGCACUUCUCCUGCCUCAGCCUCCUGAGCAGCUGGGAGUACAGGCACGCGCCACUAUGCCCAGCUAAUUUUUUGGAUUUUUAGUAGAGUCGGGGUUUUAGCAUAUUGAGCAAGAUGGUCUCGAUCUCUUGACCUCGUGACUCACCCGCCUCGGCGUCCCAAAGUGCUGGGACUACAGACGUGAGCCACCACGCCCGGCGUGUUUUUGUUUUGUUUUGUUUUGUUUGUUUGUUUGUUUGUUUUUGAGACGGAUUAUCGCUCUUGUUUACCCAGGCUGGAUUGCAAUGGUGCGAUCUGGGCGCACCGCGACCUCCGCCUCCUGGGUUCAUGCAAUUCUCCUGCCUCAGCCUCCUGAGCAGCUGGGAUUACAGGCACGCGCCACUAUCCCCAGCUAAUUUUUUGUAUUUUUAGUAGAGACGUGGUUUCUCCAUGUUGACCAGGAUGGUCUCCAUCUCUGGACCUGGUGAUCCACUUGCCUUGGCCUCCCAAAGUGCUGGGAUUACAGGUGUGAGCCAUCGCGCUGGGCUCUUAUUUUUUUUAAUUAUUUUUUAUUUAUUUUUCAAGAUGGAGUUUCGCUUUUCUUUACCCAGGCUGGAGUGCAAUGGUGCGAUCUCGGCUCGAGGGAACCCCCGCCUCCUGGGUUCAGGCACUUCUCCUGCCUCAGCCUCCUGAGCAGGUGGGAUUACAGGCACGCCACUAUGCCCAGCUAAUUUUUUUGUAUUUUUAGUAGAGACGGAGUUUUAGCAUAUUGAGCAAGAUGGUCUCGAUCUCUUGACCUGGUGAUUCACCCGCCUCAGCGUUCCAAAGUGCUGGGAUUACAGACAUGAGCCACCCUGCCCGGCUUUUUUGUUGUUGUUGUUGUUGUUGUUUUUCAGAGACGGAGUUUCGCUCUUGUUUACCCAGGCUGGAGUGCAGUGGCGCGAUCUCAGCUCACCACAACCUCCGCCUCCUGGGUUCAGGCAAUUCUCCUGCCUCAGCCUCCUGAGUAGCUGAGAUUACAGGCACGCGCCACUAUGCCCAGCUAAUGUUUUGUAUUUGUAGUAGAGACGGGGUUUUACCAUGUUGACCAGGAUGGUCUCGAUCUCUCGACCUCGUGAUCCACCUGCCUCAGCCUCCCAUAGUCCUGGGAUUACAGGCUUGAGCCACCGUGCCCGGCCCCGCGCUCCCGUUUAAACUCACUCAGUUGACCGGGCGGGGUGGGUCACGCCUGUAAUCCCAGCACUUUGGGAGGCCGAGGCAGGUGGAUCACAAGGUUGAGAGAUCGAGACCAUUCUGGUCAACAUGGUGAAACCCCGUCUCUACUACAAAUACAAAAAUUAGCUGGGCAUGGUGGCGCGUGCCUGUAAUCCCAGCUACUCAGGAGGCUGAAGCAGGCGAAUUGCCUGAACCCAGGAGGCGGAGGUUGUGGUGAGUCGAGAUUGCGCCAUUGCACUCCAGUCUGGGUAAACAAGAGCGAAACUCCAUCUCAAAAAAAAAAAUAAAAACAAAUCAAAAUCAGUUGUAUAAUUAAGUAUAAGACCUCAACUUAUAAAACAACUUAUAAAAAAGCUUUGGGGAAAAUCUCUAGGACAUUAGGCUGGACAAAAGUUUUUUGAGUAAUAAUGCCACAAGCUCAGGCAACCAAAGCAAAAUAAAGGGAAUCAUAUAAACUUCAAAAGCUUCUGCACAGCAAAAGAAACAAUCAACAAAGUUAAGAGAUAACCUAAGAUGGGACAAAAUACUUGCAAACCACCCACCCAUAUGACAAGAGAUUAAUAACCAGAAUAUAUAGAGUGCUGAAACAACUCUAAAGGACAAAUUUUAAUUAUCCAAUCAAACAAAGUUAAAGAGACAAAGCCAAGUGUCAUUGAGGACAUCGAGUAACUGAAAUGCUCAUGAAGUGAUUGUUUAAGGAUAAUUUGGUAUCUUCUUCUUACAUAGAUAUACCUAAACAUAUUUGGAUAUGUAACCAUCUGACUCUAUAUUAAGCAAGACAGGAGUUCAUACUGAUAUCUCCAAUUUUAAUUCAUUAUUAUAUAUAACAUUUCAGCGUGCUCACUGUGCUUUUCUGUAAACAAUUAUUCCAACAGUGAAAAACCUGCCUCUGACCAUCUGACAUAAUCCAUUUACUUAAUUUUAAAAAAUUAUUUGAACUUAUUGAUGUAUUGACAUCUUACAAUAUUAAGUCUUCUAGUCCAUGAACAAAUAAUUAUUUCUCCAUUUAUAUAGGUCAUCUUUGAUUUGUUUCAUCAGAGUUCGUAGUUUUCAGUAUUUACACACUGCACACAUUUUGGUAGACCCAUACUUAAGUAUUUCAUUUUUCUUGGUGCUAUUGUAAAUCAUAUUUUUAAAUUUCAAAUGCCAAUUAUUCCUGACUGGUAUAUAGGAAAGUAGUUUUUAUAGUAUAGUUUGAUAAUACAAGUUUGUUAUCAGUGUAUAACAUACUAGUGACAUCCUUUUUUUUAAUUGACUUUGGGAACUUUUCUGCAUAGGUAAUCAUAUUACUUUCAAAGAUUGUUUUAUUUAUUCUUUUUCAAUCUAUAUAACUCCUAUUUUUUAAAACUGUCUUACUGCACUAGCUACAGCUUCCAGUAUGAUGUUGAACUGAUGUGGUGAGAAAGAACAUUCUUCCCAUGUUCCCAAAAGUGGUGAAGCACCCACUUUCUUGCCAUUAAAUAUGUUACCUGGAGACUUUGUGUGAAUGUUAUUUACCAUGUUGAGAAAGUUUGCUUGUAUUCCUAGUCUUUUGAGAGUUUUAUCAUAAAUGGGUGUUGGAUACUGUCAAAUGCAUUUUAUGCAUUAAUUGAUAUUAUUACAUAAUUUUUCUUUUUUAGACUAUUGAUAUGGAUUAUACUGACUGAUUUUCAAAUAUUGAAGCAGCCAUGUAAACAUGGAGUAAAUUGACCUUUGUCAUGGUGUAUAUUUUAAAAUAUGUUGUGAAAUUUGAUUUGCUAAUAUUUUACUGAAGAAUUUUUGAGUAUGUGUACAUGAGAGAUGGCUCUAUAGUUUUCCUUUUUGUAAUAAGUUUAUUUGGCUUUUAUAUGAGUUAAGAAGUUGUCCUUCUGCUCCUGGUUCUUAGAAGAGAUAAAAGAUAAUUUGUGUUUAUUUCUUAAAUAUUUGGGAGCGUUCACCAGGGAACACUUCUGCGCCUUGUGCCCCUAUUUUGGAAGAGUAAAUUUUAGGUCAUUUUCUCUCAUAGCUUUAUGCCUAUUCAGAUUAUGUAUUUCUCUUUGUGUGAGUUUUUAUAGUUCAUGGCUUUGAAGAAAUUGAUCCCUCUCAACAAAGUUGUCUAAAUUGUGGGAAUACACCCAAAAAAUAAAAUACCUGGGAAUGCAUUUAGCCAGGAGGUGAAAUAUCUUUACAAGGAGAACCACAAAACACUGAUGUAAUAAAUUGUGGACCACAAAACCAAAUGAAAAAUCACCCUAUUCUGAUGGAUUAGGAGAAUCAAUAUUACUAAAAUGACCAUAUUGUCCAAAGCAAUCUAUAGAUUCAAUGUUGCUCCUAUUAAACUACCAACACCAUUCUUCUCAGAAUUAGAAAAAAGGAACCAUCUUAAAAUUCAUAUGGAACUAGCACUUUGGGAGGCCAAGGAUGGUGGAUCACAAGGUCAGGAGUUCCAGCCUAGCCAAUGUAGUGAAAACCUAUCUCUAAUUAAAAUACAAAACAUUAGCCAGGUGUGGUGGUGGGUGCCUGUAAUCCCAGCUACUCGUGAAGCUGAGGCAGGAGAAUUGCUUGAACCUGGGAGGUGGAGCUUGCAGUGAGCUAAGAUCGCACCAUUGCACUCUAGCCCAGGCAACAGUGCAUGACUCCGUCUAAAAAAAAAAAAAAAAAAAAAAAAUUAUAUGGAACCAGAAAAUAGCCUGAAUAGCCAAAGCAAUGUUAAGCAAAAGGAACAAAGGUGGAGACAUCCCACUGCCUGAGCUCAAAUUCUACUAUAAGGUUAUAAUAACCAAAGCAGCAUGGUGCUGGUACAAAACAAACACAUAGACCAAUGGGACAGAAUAGAGAACACAGAAAUAAAGCCACACAUCAACAAUAAAAACCAUCUGAUCUUUGGCAGAGUCAACAAAUACAAUAAGGAAAAGACACCCUAUUCAAUAGAUGGUGCUGGGAAAAUUGAAUAGCCAUGUGCAGUAGUAUGCAACUGGAUCCUUAUCUUUCACAAUAUACAAAAAUUAUCUCAAGGUGGAUUAAAUAAUUAAAUAUAAGAGUGAAACUAUAAAAAUCUUUAAAUGAAACCUAAGAAACACUCUUGAGGACCUUGACCUAGGCAAAGAAUUUAUGACUAAGACCUCAAAAGCAAAUGCAACAAAAACAAAUAUAGACAAAUAGGCCCUAAUUAAACCAAAGACAUUUGUACAGCAAAGACAUUUUCAAGAGUAAAUGGACAACCUAGUGAAUGGGAGAAAAUAUAUGCAAACUAUGCAUCUAACAAAGGACUAAUAUCCAGAAUCUAUAAAAAAACUUAAAAUAAUUGAAGUUGCUAAUUAGUUGAUUUUGGAAAUGGGUGAUUUUCUGAAUUAUCCAGAUGUGCCCAAUACAGUGAAAAGGGUUCUUUCACAUGGAGGAGGGAAGCAGAGGGCCAAAUUCAGAGAUUUGAAGAUGCCACACUGCUGGCUUUGAAGAUGGAAGAAAGGGCCAGGAUCCCAGGAUUUCAGAUGGCUCCUGGAAACUGAAAGAGUCAAACGGAUCAUUCCCCAGCCCCGAAGAAGGAAUGUAGCACUCUUAACACUUGAUGUUAGUCCAGUACAUCCAGCUCAGACCUCUACUCUCUAGAAGUACAUGAUAAUCAAUUUGUUUUGUGGCAAUAUUUUUGUAAUUUGUUACAGCAGCAUAGGAAAAUAAUACAGAUGCCACAAACCCAGCAUUAAUUAAACCGUUUUUUCCCUAAGAAACUUGUGGUAGAGAAGGGAUCUACCAAAGGCAGGGCAGUUGAAAUGGUUCAUCUGCCAAGUAGGUAAUAAAAGAGGCGCAUUGUAUGUGGACAAUUUUAAAACAAGAACAAAACUGAAUAAAUGCCAGUGUUUUCCCUUACCACCACCAUACCCCAACAUUUCUAAGCAACACCAGUAAUAAAAUCAUUUCCCCCCCAAAAAUUUUAAAAUUGUUUUGUAUUUUUCAUAAACAAUAUAUUUUUUAAAAGAGCUUUUUAAUGAGGUAUAAUUGGCAUACAAUAAACUGCACAAAGUGUUCAAUUUAAUUAGUUUUGAUCUUUGAUUCUUAGAAUUUGUUUCCUUACGUUGUCCAUCUGUUCUUGCAAGUGUUCUACAUUUUCCAUUAGUGCCACCACCAUAUGGGUCAUGAUUACUUAAAAUGCCCUGUACAAUAAUUCCAACAUGUGGUUCAAUUUCUUGCUUUGUGUCUUUAGAUUGUGUUUUUCUUAUCUUUUUGGCAUGCCUGGCAAUGUUUUGUGAAAAGCCAGACGUGCUGAAGUGGAACUGAGUUAAACAGUCCUUUAGUGUGAAGGUUUAUGUUCAUUUGUGUUUAUGUUGGGUACAGUCAUAGGUAUCUGAUGCUUCAAGUUCCCCUAGGAUCUCUGCCAAUUUCUCCCUUCUUGACUUUGUGCUUCCCUAGCUUCUAUUACUCAAAAGAAUACACAUGUUGCAGCUCUUUCAGCCAUAAUCCACUGUUAUUAUACUGGAGCUUUUAGUGUGGUGGCAAAGUGCUGGGAAGUGUAAAAAUUAGCGAAGUUUAUUUGCAAAUCUCAAUCUUGUAAUAAUUCUGUG